CUUAGCCAGGGAGGCUUCCCGGGCCAGGAUCCGGUACACAUUGGCGUCUGAGCCCACCAAAACCCCCACCCAAACAAAUGUGCCCCCCCGACCAUUACAUCACCUGUUUUCCCGCUGUUUUACAGGUUGGCUGAGGAUGAUGGGUGUCGUUUGGGACGUCUGUCGCAGCUCCGCUUUCUGUGCUUCGCUGGGGACAUGGCUGGCUUCUGGGGAGGAGAGUCGACUGUGCUCUCCCCCUGGAACUGCUCGG